CCCAAAUGCACCUGGAGUGACCCUGAAUGAUUUAGUCGCGUGUCGCCGCAGUUGUGUUGAAGCCAAUGCAAUUCUCCCCAAAUAAAAGUGGAACCAAGCUAUCCAGUGGCUCUCUGGCUCUAAACCAAUAUUGAUAAUUCAUCUGAUCUUAAUAAAUUGGUAUCAUAGUGAUCUUGAUGGUCACAUCUGGGUACAAUCUAGCCCGCCUUCAUUUUUAGGAUAUUGGUCAAUAAUAUUCCAAAUUUCUUAAAAUAGUGCUGCUGACCACUGCCCAUUAACACGUAAUUCCCUUCAAUGAAAAGAUACCAAUGUGGCAACUUAACAUAUCAUCAACAGAUCUUAAUUCUUCUUCCGACACUUAUCAUCUCACUUUUAUAGUUCAUUUUCCUGAUGGCUGCUGGCUAAGAUUCAUUAUUCGGAACAAUUAGCAAGUUGGAGAGUCUCGCUGGAGGCUGUCGUCUCAAGAAAGUAACAAAUCUUGCCUCUACACAUUUUGCUCUGGAGCCUCUUGGUUAUUUUUUUAAAACCUCAUCUUUUAGUUCCCCUCAGGGAUUCUAAUGAAGAUAUCAGCCAUCUGUUAAGUAAAGGGAAUAAGGGACUGGAGCACAAAAAUAUCAACACCAGGAACAAUCUGUAUAUUUGUUUGUAGUUGAUGAGCACCAGCUCCAACUGCAAAAUAAUGAAGAACUUCACUAAAUGUUUCACUUUUUGCCCCUAAAAAAAAUGACUUAUGUACAAACCAUAUCCAAAAAUAAAGAAAAAUUU
rnacentral:lncRNA from 1 species